rnacentral:rRNA from 1 species
AUUGAACGCUGGCGGCAGGCCUAACAAAUGCAAGUAGAGCGAGCGGCGGACGGGUGAGUAAUGUAUGGGGACUGCCCGAUAUAGGGGGAUCACUACUGGAAACCAUGGCUACUACUGCCUACCGUCGGCAAACCCCUAUGGGAUUAGCUAGGAGUUAAGGUAAUGGCUCACCUCGGCGACGAUCCCUAGCUGGUCUGAGAGGAUGAUCAGCCACACUGGAACUGAGACACGGCCCAGACUCCUACGGAGGCAGCAGUGGGGAAUAUUGCACAAUGGGCGCAAGCCUGAUGCAGCCAUGCCGCGUGUAUGAAGAAGGCCCUAGGGUUGUAAAGUACUUUCAGUCGGGAGGCGUUACCGACAGAAGAAGUACCGGCUAACUCCGUGCCAGCAGCCGCGGUAAUAC